CCUACGGGUGGCAGCAGUAGGGAAUCUUCCACAAUGGGCGAAAGCCUGAUGGAGCAACGCCGCGUGGGUGAAGAAGGUCUUCGGAUCGUAAAACCCUGUUGUUAGAGAAGAAAGUGCGUGAGAGUAACUGUUCACGUUUCGACGGUAUCUAACCAGAAAGCCAAGGCUAACUACGUGCCAGCAGCGGCGGUAAUAGGUAGGUGGCAAGCGUUAUCCGGAUUUAGUGGGCGUAAAGGGUGCGUAGGCGGUCCGUUAAGUCAGCGGUAAAAUUGCGGGGCUCAACCCCGUCGAGCCGUUGAAACUGGCAGACUUGAGUAGGCGAGAAGUACGCGGAAUGCGCGGUGUAGCGGUGAAAUGCAUAGAUAUCGCGCAGAACUCCGAUUGCGAAGGCAGCGUACCGGCGCCAGACUGACGCUGAGGCACGAAAGCGUGGGGAUCGAACAGGAUUAGAUACCCCAGUAGUC
rnacentral:rRNA from 1 species